rnacentral:tRNA from 1 species
GCAGGUAGAGCUCAGCAGUAGAGCAUGUGCUUGGCAGGCACCAGGUCCUGGGUUCAAUCCCCAGUUCCUCCA